ensembl:misc_RNA Metazoa_SRP Metazoan signal recognition particle RNA
GCCGGGUGUGGUGGCGCGUGCCUGUAAUCCCAGCUACUCAGGAGGCUGAGGCAGGAGAAUCGCUUGAACCCGGGAGGUGGAGGUUGCAGUGAGGUGAGAUUGCACCACUGCACUCCAGCCUGGGCAUGGUGGUGCGUGCCUGUAAUCCCAGCUACUUGGGAGGCUGAGGCAGAAGAAUCGCUUGAACCCGGGAGGUGGAGGUUGCAGUGAGCCGAGAUCACGCCACUGCACUCCAGCCUGGGCGAUAGAGCGAGACUCUAUCUCA